GUGCGGUUUACUCCAGCGUUCACCACCUUUCUCUACCUUCUCCUCAAACUUGAUCCACCUGGAGAGAUGGAAAAAGGGAACAGGCACCAGAAAACCAUUGUCAUCAAUAGCUGUGGUUGAAGAUUGAAGAUUUCUGAUGUGCUUGACCAAGGACGCCCCUCGGUCCAAAACCGCCUCAUCCUCCAUCCUGUAGUAGUAAAAGAGGAAGAAAGAC